rnacentral:lncRNA from 1 species
GUUUGAAUUGUUUUCGUUGUCAUUUCUGGACCUUUUAUAGCUGACUAUGCAGUAUAACUGGGAGUACUCUCAGAUCUGUUCAUUGUGUCUUUUUGUGUAGGGAUGUAUAAGUACCCGGCCACGUCCACUUGUAUUUUUGUCCAUCUGAUGAGUUAAGCCUUUUUCAACUGAUUUUUAUAGUUUAUUCUUAUGUUGUACUGUUAUACCACUGUCGCAGGUUAGGGGGAGGGUUGGGAUCCCGCUAACAUGUUUAACCCCGCCACAUUAUUUAUGUAUGUGCCUGUCCCAAGUCAGGAGCCUGUAAUUCAGUGGUUGUCGUUUGUUUAUGUGUUACAUAUUUGUUUUUCGUUCAUUUAUUUAUAUAAAUAAGGCCGUUAGUUUUCUCGUUUGAAUUGUUUUACAUUGUCUUAUCGGGGCCUUUUAUAGCUGACUAUGCGGUAUGGGCUUUGCUCAUUGUUGAAGGCCGUACGGUGACGUUUAGUUGUUAAUGUCUGAGUCAUUUUGGUCUCUUGUGGACAGUUGUCUCAUUGGCAAUCAUACCACAUCUUCUUUUUUUAUAUUUGUUCAUUGUUAAGGCUGUAGGGUGACCUUGAGUUGUUAAUUUCUGUUUCAUUUGGUCUCUCAUGGGGAGUUGUCCAAUCAUACCCCAUCUUCUUUUUUUUAUAUUGUCCUAUGUACUAUGAAAAUAAAGUAAGAUGAAAC